rnacentral:rRNA from 2 species
UGGCGGCAGUAGCGCGGUGGUCCCACCUGACCCCAUGCCGAACUCAGAAGUGAAACGCCGUAGCGCCGAUGGUAGUAUGGGGUCUCCCCAUGCGAGAGUAGGGAACUGCCAGACA